rnacentral:rRNA from 1 species
AAAUUGAAGAGUUUGAUCAUGGCUCAGAUUGAACGCUGGCGGCAGGCCUAACACAUGCAAGUCGAACGGUAACAGGAAACAGCUUGCUGUUUCGCUGACGAGUGGCGGACGGGUGAGUAAUGUCUGGGAAACUGCCUGA